rnacentral:pre_miRNA from 1 species
CUGUAAAGCUUUCUCAGAAACUUUGCAGUUGAAGAAAAAUUUGUCAUGGUCCAGAAUUCGUCCUGGUCUGAAUUUUUCUUCAACUGUGAAGUUUCUGAGAAAGCUUUACA